rnacentral:pre_miRNA from 1 species
UUAACUCAAAUUUGUAUAGAGUUGGAACAGCGCCCCUAGCGGCAAACAUAGGCAAAAGUUCCAACUCCAUACAAAUUUGAGUUA